CUCUCGCCCGUGACGUCAAGAUAGAAACCGAUCGCUCUGUAUGAUUUUGAACCAUAUGGAGGUUCAAAUGAGCUUGCACUGUUGGGUUGAAGUGAGCAUCUUGUAUGUUCCUGAUCUGAAGAAAGCUCAGUCUUUCCUUAUUGACGGACAAGCUCAGCCUGUUCCAAGAGAGGGACUGGCCCCCAGAUGGUGACUUGGAAGGCACUGUGAUGACAAGGAAAGGCCAUCCAGGCUCUCACGCUUGCUCUGAAGGUACCAUGGAGCUGGCUUCAAAACCGGCCUCAUCAGAAAGAAGAAAGUGGUGAGGAUGUAGAGAAGCCCACUGGGCUCUAACUACCCAGCUAAUGCCACUAUCCAGAGCACAAUGCAAGCCCUCCCUGGAACUGACAGGACACGGAUUUUUUUUUCCCCAGACUUUUGCAGUUCUCAGAGCUAAAGCCAAAGAAAGCAGAGGGUGAAGACUCUGAGUGGGGGGAAGAAGGAAGCCAAGGUCAUGUUUUGCCAGAAAAAAAAGGGGGGCAGAGGGGGGUAAAGGGGAAGACCCAGAACGGGCCAUCGAGGGGGAAUUUUGGGACAGAAAGUGAAAGCUCAAGGCAUAAAUUGGAGCUGGUGGCAGCCACAGCAGACUCAAACGGGCUCACUGGGGCACACACAAGCUCACUUGCACUUGGCUCCUGAACCCCUUCACGCCACAGGAGGACAUCUGAGCGAUUCCCAUCACUCCCCUGUGAACCCGUAGGAGCCUCGACCUCUCAGAUUCUUGCGCACACAGUCUCUCAGGCUCACUCACUCUCUGUGGCCUGCCUCAGAUCGUCUGCCACGGCCCCCCGUGUGACCCCACUCCUGGCCUUCAGCCUGCUGGUUCUCUGGACCUUCCCAGCCCCAACUCUGGGGGGUGCUAAUGAUGCAGAAGACUGCUGCCUGUCUGUGACCCAGCGCCCCAUCCCUGGGAACAUCGUGAAAGCCUUCCGCUACCUUCUUAAUGAAGAUGGCUGCAGGGUGCCUGCUGUUGUGUUCACCACACUAAGGGGCUAUCAGCUCUGUGCACCUCCAGACCAGCUCUGGGUGGAUCGCAUCAUCCGAAGACUGAAGACGUCUUCUGCCAAGAACAAAGGCAACAGCACCAGAAGGAGCCCUGUGUCUUGAGUAAAGAGAUGUGAAUCACUCUGGCCCAGGAAACCAAGGACCAGAAGAGAGGACCAGGCCUCCUGAUGCUCUGUCCCAGACCUAACCCAGCCAAGUCUGUGCCUAGAGAGUCGAUGUGAGUGUGGACAAGAGAGUUUGUGUGGCUAGAACACCGUCUCUCUGUGGCUAGACUGCAGUGCUUCCAAUAAAGCUGCUUGGUACCGUG